UCUUCUUCUUCUUCUGCGACUCGAGUUUGCUGGUCUUCCCCUUCGUCAUGGCGAAGGUGACGGAUCCGCAGAGGAGGAGGGGAAGGAGGAGGCUUGAGGCGUGCAGAGAGCUGCGAGAGGAGCGGGAUUAAUGAGAGGAGGUUGAGCAGCGCGACAGGAAAUCCCGCCGGGGAGGCUUAAAUAGGCUUCCGACUGGGUCACUAACAGGUGGACCCAAGAUCUUAUCCCCCCGACCGGCCGCUACGAGGUUAGUGGAGAAGAUAAAGGUGCGGUAAUUGAGGAGGCAAAACCUACUCGAUGGCGAUGUCGUCAUCCCCGCUGAGCGCGCGGCAACCGAAAUUUGAGGAUCCCGGAAAAUCCGGCGCUGUCAGUUUGACCAGUCACGUCGAAAGAUUCCACGGAAGCACUUGGUCCCUGACGGUUCGUUUCACUCGUAUAUUCACUCGGAUCACUGGUUGGAAGGAUAAAAUGGAUCGAGGCAAACAACGCUAAAGUCACCUCCAUACCAGUCGGUUCCAUACUCCAGACAUCACUUCAUCGUUCCAACCCCGAUCCAUUCGGGGACUAAUGAUGGGGUUAUAGUCCCAGGGUAGGGUCAUAG
rnacentral:lncRNA from 1 species